rnacentral:rRNA from 1 species
UGGGGAAUUUUGGACAAUGGGGGAAACCCUGAUCCAGCCAUCCCGCGUGUGCGAUGAAGGCCUUCGGGUUGUAAAGCACUUUUGGCAGGAAAGAAACGUCAUGGGUUAAUACCCCGUGAAACUGACGGUACCUGCAGAAUAAGCACCGGCUAACAACGUGCCAGCAGCCGCGGUAAUACGUAGGGUGCAAGCGUUAAUCGGAAUUACUGGGCGUAAAGCGUGCGCAGGCGGUUCGGAAAGAAAGAUGUGAAAUCCCAGAGCUCAACUUUGGAACUGCAUUUUUAACUACCGGGCUAGAGUGUGUCAGAGGGAGGUGGAAUUCCGCGUGUAGCAGUGAAAUGCGUAGAUAUGCGGAGGAACACCGAUGGCGAAGGCAGCCUCCUGGGAUAACACUGACGAUCAUGCACGAAAGCGUGGGGAGCAAACAGG